AGUGAGUUGCUUCCUCCCUUCUCAUACUGCUGAGUCUACAUUUAAGCAUUCAUUCUUCACAGGAGGACCGACACGACAGAUUGACCUAUCCGGUGAUGCGAAUUGACAAAGAGGACUCAAAGGCCAUAACUGCGGUGUUGGAGAACCACUUAUUUGAGGUGACGGACGGAUUGGGCACUUCAUUGAUUUGAAGUACGAUAUAAAGUCUGCCUUGGCUUUGGAUCUCAUCACAAAUGCAUUCUGUCAGUUCCUCAAGGCUCUUCUCACAUCAUGUGGUGACAUUUGCGUCCAGUGUUAUAUAGCCCUGUCACAUGGAAGAGGUGGAGGAGACCAGCUUACUAAAGAGUAUAUCAGCAUCACUGGAAACACUGCCUCUAUUGCUGUCAUCAACAGCCAGCUGGCUGAAAUCAAGCCACCACACAGCUCCACGAGACUCCCAAGGGCACUGAGCACACGCCUAUUCUGGAAGGCUUCCGAAUGGCGCCACUGGCUGCUGUACCACUCGCUUCCCUGCAUGUACAGGGUCCUUCUGGACCAAUACUGGCCGUACAUAAAGAAGCUGGUGGAGGCCGUCCAUGCACUUUUGAGGGACACCGUAACUCCAGCAUCCAUUGAUGUUGCACGCGAGUUCUCCCCCUUCGGUUUCUUUGUGUCCUGCUUCGGGCCAGCUUUAAUAAUGUCAUAUUGUGCUUUCAGAGAAACUCCUCUGGACCUUUGUGGGCAUGACAGGGAGGCUGUAUGGAGCUCCAGCAAUGACGUUCAGCCUGCACCAGUUACUCCACCUAGCGGAAGCAGUGCAGCAACUGGGGCCAUUGUGGGGCCAUUCUGCUUUUGAAUUUGAAAGCGGUAACGGGCAGCUUGUGAAGCUGGUGAAAGGAUCAAAUGCUCUUCCGGAAAGGGUAGUGAAGUAUCAGCAGUUGGGAUCAAACUUUGGUGUCCUCGCUUCUAAGUGACAGCGUCAAAGUGAUGUGCUGUGAUAUUCUGGGAUACACUAAACACCAAAACUUCAAGUAUGCAAACGAAGUGUGCCUGCUCGGUUCCUCUUCGAAGGCAUCCUUGAGCAAAGAGGAACAGAGUUGUCUUUCCGCUGGAUUUGGGGCCGCCUUUGAUCAGGCUACAGAGUACAAGCACUUCGCAUGGAAAGGGCAGAUUUGUCACAGCCGAAACUAUGCCAGGAGUAAAAAGACAGACUCCUAGGUCAUUCAAAUAAAGGAUAUGUGCGAUUUCACCAUUUUGAGAGUGUUGCCUUUGAAAGGUGAGGUAACACUUCUGUGCAGGGAAGUUGUCAUCACUUGUGCAGGUGCUUUCCCGCAGCACAUCAGGCUUUGUUUUCUUUCUCACGUGAACUUGCAGGCUGUUAAACCACAGCAGCUGAAGGCACCAUGCCUUUUUCUCACUUUCAGGAAGCCCUCAGCAUGCUAUGUCUGUGAUCUGUCAAACCUUCUUGAGCGCGAUUGAUGUAAUGUAACCAGGUGUGCCGAAGUAAAGUGACUGUUCCCUAGGAGUUGAAAUAUCCAAAACUACAUCCUGUGAUAAUUUGUCCCUGUUUUGCCUUUGUGUCAACAAGGGAAAUCUAUCGAGAUUGUGCCUUUCACAUCUUCAGACUUCUUGUUUUGCUCCUAAGGUGUUCCUUCAGGUAACUCUACAUUCAUAAGUGAUUUUCUUUGUUUACAAUUUGUUAUACUUCGUGUGCUUGAUUUGCUCUUCUGAGACUAGUCGGGCUAAUUUGAUUAUCGACCUGUGGAAGAUGGCUAUUGUUUGAGUAAAUCAAUUCCAUGUCUCAGCCUCCUAAUGUGUCUUUCCCUAACCUUUCUGACAAAAAUGUGUGAAGCUUCUAGGGGUAGCAGUAGGGUAGGCUUGUUUUUAACUGCAAGCAGGCAAAUGAGAAAAUCCCUCUUUUGUUAUUAUAAUGCAAGUUGAAAAGACUGAAAUAGACUUAGACCUUUCGUUAUUCUGUCUACAUUGCAUCAUAAUUGAAUAGCUUCAAAAACCUUCUGUAUUCGUGGACCACAAAAUAGGCUUUUGUUAAUAGCAUUUCACAUAUGAUUUGAUUGAUUUUGUUUUCAUACUUCUGUGUUAAUUUUGACUAGUUAAUUGUUUUAGUAACUAUAGGUUAUGUAUGAGGGUUAUAAGUUCUUGGCUCUCUUAAUUACUGUACUGUCAUUCGAUGAUUUGUCUCUUAACACCUACAAGUACUUGUGAAAAUCUUAAACUGGCACACGUAAAACUGAACAGCAAGAUAGUUACUGAUGCUUGUCUAGUGAGCUUUCAAACACAAAUAUUAAAUAGAGCGUGCACAUUAGAAUGUAUAGCAAUGUAUUUCUGGGGUGGAGUUGCCCUUUGAGGUUAUUACUUGAAGUAAGCAUUUGUGCAAGUUGGUUUAAAUUUAUGUAGUGUCUAAUGGCCUUUCGGUGUCUUGGGGGUUCUAGUAAUAUUUUUUUUCUGAGAUCAAUCAUAGUAUAGAAAUAAAUGUAGAGCGGAUGCAGAGGAUGCUAACUGCUGUUAACGAAUUCCAAUAAGGUAGAAAUGUUUGGCGACUUCAUUAUAAAAAACAAUUACUUUUUUUUCAUUU